AAUCAACGCUGGCGGCGUGCCUCAGACAUGCAAGUCGAACGCGAAAGGCCCCUUCGGGGGCCGAGUAGAGUGGCGCACGGGUGAGUAACACGUGGGUAAUCUACCUCUGAGUGGGGAAUAACAGUCGGAAACGGCUGCUAAUACCGCAUAAUGCAGCGGCACCACAUGGUGACAGUUGUUAAAGCGGGGGAUCGUAAGACCUCGCGCCUAGAGAGGAGCCCGCGGCGGAUUAGCUAGUUGGUAGGUAACGGCCUACCAAGGCGACGAUCCGUAGCCGGCCUGAGAGGGCGGACGGCCACACUGGCACUGACAUACGGGCCAGACUCCUACGGGAGGCAGCAGUCGGGAAUUUUGGGCAAUGGGCGCAAGCCUGACCCAGCAACGCCGCGUGAAGGAUGAAGCUUCUCGGAGUGUAAACUU
rnacentral:rRNA from 1 species